rnacentral:ncRNA from 1 species
UUUAUGGGUUAAAUGUGACCAUAUAUGGUAACAUAUAUCGGAAAAAUUCCUUAAAUUGCUGGAAACCCAUGAUAGACCUACUGACUAAAGAUUUUCCUAUUACAAUUUAAAUAUUUCAGCUGCAAAUUUCCAAAAGCUCGUCGGCUUAUACAAAGUAUAAACCUCCUCGCUUUUAAUAAUUUUCGCUAUAAAAUAUUUAAAUUUCAUAACGGAAACCUUUAAUCAGUAGGUCUGAAGUUUUUCUCGCUAAAGCAUAAUCUGAAAAGAUAAGUGCGAACGCCAAAAAGAGAAAAAAUUUGGCAAUCAGCAGCCAAGCCUUAGAAAUAGGGAAGGUUCAGAGACUAUAAUAGGAAUUACCUAGGUUUUAGGUAAGUGGUAUAGUCCAUUCCUAUUGGAAACAGUAGG